UGUCAAUCAUAGAGGCCAAGUGCCUAACAUCCUGGCAGAGAGGGCUAGAAAGAUUCCCUUCCUUGCUUGUUUAGUUGUAUAACUUAGUAAUCCCCUUUCCCUUCUUUAAGCUCACUCACUCGGACUUGCUGUGGUGAGUCUUCUAGGCUCCAAGGGCCAAGAGACCUAAACUUAAUCACUAAUUCUGCUAUACCCUGGAAGCUUGGGCCAAUGACUUCUGAUCCUUACCUCAUCUGAAUAGAUGAGCCACAAAGCCUAUCUGACCAACUCUCAAGGAUGUUCUGAGACCCCAGGAAGCAACUCAGCAUAGCUCGACAUGCGUCAUUGAACUGGGACAUGUCAUGUCCUUCUCUGAGUCCUUUCUGUUGGAAAGCCCUGAUAUUUUGCAAGAGGAAGCAGAUGCCCAGAGAUGUUGAGUUAUAUCUCCAAGUCAUACUAAGGAACUGGCUGGAGGGUCUGAGAGUGAGACCGGUGUCUUAUAUGCUUCCCAAACACAGGAUGCCCAAAUAGCAUUCAACACAGAGAAGUUUGCCCUAUGGACUCUUCUGGAGUUAGAUUACACAUAAGUGUAAAUUGAAAAUCUACAUUCUGACAUGAGUCACUGAACACUCUGAGUCUGAGUUCAUUUGCUUGUGACUUCAGUAAAUGGGACUGAACAGGGAGCUAGCCGACUGUGACCUGGUACCUUGGUGGCUUCUGAUACAGGCUGAUGAAACUGGAGUUUGCCUGGCAGUCCUUUAUAGUCAUAUAAAAAUUGAAUUUAGUCUAGACCCAGCUUCCUUCCUGUUCAGAAAUAUACAUAGAACACCAGGAAGAACAUUGAACUCAUUAUCCACUGGCUUGGACAGUCUCAUGGUACCUGAACCUUUGGAACCUGGCUCUGUGUUCCCACCUGGCCUCCCCAGCAGAACGAGGAGCUGAUCAUAGCCAGAAAUCUUCUUGAUCAUCAUCUCUAUUUCUGAGGCUGAGAUGGAACUGUGGCCCGGUCUUCACAAGCUUAGGAUCAGGUUUAUUCCCACAUGGAGGUUUUCCAUUUCCACUGCACCCCCAGUUGCUGAUCUCUUCUUUUUGUUUCUCUUCCAAAGACCCCAUCUUUAGAGUGUUCUAGAGCUGAAAAGGGUUGAGCCCAUCUUCUCUCUAAGCCAGGCUCCAGGGCAUGGCUGAGUCCUCUUUCACAUGCUGGGCACACACUCAUCUAUGCUUAUGAACUUUUUGGAUAAUUUCUGAAAACAUGAGUGGUCAGUGAAAAUUUCUCAGGACUUCAAAACUGGCCCAAACCUGAGAUGUUUCUUCACUGAGACUCAUUUCGUGGAUGAAGAAACUAAAGUGAGGAGAGGUGACAUCAUUUCCCCCAAUUCAAGCAAAUGAAACAGCAAAAGACAUGGGCAGCUUGUGGCAUUGCACCUCACUACUAAGGCUGUAGUCUACCACCUCUGGAUAGCUCCAUGCAAAAUGGAGGACGCCCUUUUCUUAACAGGGCUUCCUCUUCUCUGCCUGAUUUGGGAAGCCCAACUCCACUCUUCUGAGGAAUGUCACGUAAUCCUUGAUGAAAUUACAGGUUCAACCUCCUGGAACACCUCUCCAUGCAAAUGAAGUAUCCCUAGAACCUUAAACCUCAACCAAUGAAACUUUUACCCUAAGAAAAACCCAUCCCCACUCUCCAGGACACACACACACACACAUACACACACACACACACAUAGCCCUUGAUUCAUCACAAUGAAGUAUAUGUGCACAAGCUGUUUUGAUGACAAUUGCCUAAGAGAGCCAUUUUUUAAGAGCGUGAAUAUCUAAAAUCUGUAACAAUGAAAUCUUCAGAGACUACCCCCCCUUCCCCAUUCACUGCCAAACUGGAAUCCUGCUGACCUGCCCAUUCUAGACUUUGCUUCAUUCUUUCUGUCCUGUGUGCACCAGGGUCUGGACACCUCGAGGGAAGAUGUGGAUUGUGGAACUUGGCCUUACUCUAUCCUUCCCCACUUGGUGUGUAGCAGGUCCUGGACAUUCUAAGGGAAGAAUUAAAAAAAAAAAAAAGGAACCACAUGUGGCAAAGAUUUGAAUUUUCAUACUGCCCGUGAACAGAGACACCCUCCAUUGUUCCUCAUCUCACUGCAGAUGGAGUUCUGGGGGAUGUGUCUAUACAGUGGGAAUGGUGUGAAGAUGGCUUUAACUGGAUGUUGUUCAUUUGGCCUUUCUGAGUCAUUUUCUCUGAAGUUUAUUCUCAUUUUCUAUGAUAGGACCAUCCAGAAAAUGUCCUUCACUCUAUUAAAUCCUGGCUCAUGGGAA
rnacentral:lncRNA from 1 species